rnacentral:rRNA from 1 species
GCACAAGCGGUGGAUGAUGUGGAUUAAUCGAUGCAACGCGAAAACCUUACUACCCUUGACAUGUCCGGAAUCCCGAAGAGAUUUGGGAGUGCUCGCAAGAGAACCGGAACACAGGUGCUGCAUGGCUGUCGUCAGCUCGUGUCGUGAGAUGUUGGGUUAAGUCCCGCAACGAGCGCAACCCUUGUCAUUAGUUGCCAUCAUUUGGUUGGGCACUCUAAUGAGACUGCCGGUGACAAACCGGAGGAAGGUGGGGAUGACGUCAAGUCCUCAUGGCCCUUAUGGGUAGGGCUUCACACGUCAUACAAUGGUCGGUACAGAGGGUUGCCAACCCGCGAGGGGGAGCUAAUCCCACAAAGCCGAUCGUAGUCCGGAUCGCAGUCUGCAACUCGACUGCGUGAAGUCGGAAUCGCUAGUAAUCGUGGAUCAGCAUGUCACGGUGAAUACGUUCCCGGGUCUU